AACGAACGCUGGCGGCAUGCCUAACACAUGCAAGUCGAACGAGACCUUCGGGUCUAGUGGCGCACGGGUGCGUAACGCGUGGGAACCUGCCCUUAGGUUCGGAAUAACUCCCCGAAGGGGUGCUAAUACCGGAUAAUGUCUUCGGACCAAAGAUUUAUCGCCUUUGGAUGGGCCCGCGUUGGAUUAGCUAGUUGGUAGGGUAAAAGCCUACCAAGGCGACGAUCCAUAGCUGGUCUGAGAGGAUGAUCAGCCACACUGGGACUGAGACACGGCCCAGACUCCUACGGGAGGCAGCAGUGGGGAAUAUUGGACAAUGGGCGAAAGCCUGAUCCAGCAAUGCCGCGUGAGUGAUGAAGGCCUUAGGGUUGUAAAGCUCUUUUAGCCGGGAUGAUAAUGACAGUACCGGGAGAAUAAGCUCCGGCUAACUCCGUG
rnacentral:rRNA from 1 species